ACGAACGCUGGCGGCGUGCUUAACACAUGCCAGUCGAACGGAAAGGCCCUGCUUUUGUGGGGUGCUCGAGUGGCGAACGGGUGAGUAACACGUGAGUAAUCUGCCCUUGACUUUGGGAUAACUUCAGGAAACUGGGGCUAAUACCGGAUAGGAGCUCCUGCUGCAUGGUGGGGGUUGGAAAGUUUCGGCGGUUGGGGAUGGACUCGCGGCUUAUCAGCUUGUUGGUGGGGUAGUGGCUUACCAAGGCUUUGACGGGUAGCCGGCCUGAGAGGGUGACCGGCCACAUUGGGACUGAGAUACGGCCCAGACUCCUACGGGAGGCAGCAGUGGGGAAUAUUGCACAAUGGGCGGAAGCCUGAUGCAGCAACGCCGCGUGCGGGAUGACGGCCUUCGGGUUGUAAACCGCUUUCGCCUGUGACGAAGCGUGAGUGACGGUAAUGGGUAAAGAAGCACCGGCUAACUACGUG
rnacentral:rRNA from 1 species